rnacentral:rRNA from 1 species
AGAACGAACGCUGGCGGCAUGCCUAACACAUGCAAGUCGAACGCUCUUGGUUUCGGCCAAGGGAGUGGCGCACGGGUGAGUAACGCGUGGGAACCUGCCCUGGAGUGGGGGAUAACCGAGGGAAACCUCGGCUAAUACCGCAUACGACCUGAGGGUGAAAGAUUUAUCGCUCUAGGAGGGGCCCGCGUCGGAUUAGCUAGUUGGUGAGGUAACGGCCCACCAAGGCUAUGAUCCGUAGCUGGUCUGAGAGGAUGAUCAGCCACACUGGGACUGAGACACGGCCCAGACUCCUACGGGAGGCAGCAGUGGGGAAUAUUGGACAAUGGGCGCAAGCCUGAUCCAGCAAUGCCGCGUGAGUGAUGAAGGCCUUAGGGUUGUAAAGCUCUUUCACACGCGACGAUGAUGACGGUAGCGUGAGAAGAGCCCCGCUAACUUCGUGCCAGCAGCCG